GAGCGAGGAAGAGAAGCACGCGCAUACCGUGUGUAAGAGAAGGACUGACGGAACGGGAAUGCAACGCAUGCGCAGUGCAACGGUCGUGGCACGCGGUCGCGCCCAAACGCAUCUUCUCGCGAUCCUUAUAUUGAUGUACUACGCGCUUGCACUCACGGCGAACCGAUUGCGGGCCUCGCGAAUACCGAGCGAUUCAUACGUGAGAGAUGAGCGAAGCAGCUCGUUAAGAAACCGCUGUCGGCCACGAGAUAUAUAAGCAUCUUCAGUCGGAUCUUUUGAACGCCAUCGUACAGGAAUUUGAUCAACGACAGAUCACCGACACGCGUGACAGAGUUGAAUAUCCUGUUCCAUCACCGACUAUCGGGGUUAAGUUCUAGAAAUCUGCAGAAUGGACGAUUUUGGCGAUCGAUCUAAUCAAAAUGCAACGUCUGCAAGGGAAGUCGGCGAAGAAACAUCGAAGACGAACAGAGACUUAAUAGCCUGGUCGAAACUGUCAAAGUUUCGACGUUUUCACGAUUGACCGGAGAGCUGAAUCGAUUUAUUCCCCUUGGAUAUCAAGCUUCGAUGAAAUUCAUAAUCGAAAUGGAUAGCAAUAGCGACAUAGUGCGAAAAAUAACUUGUUGUUUCGAAAUAUUUUCGAGAAAGUCAAUUGUACUUUCGUUUUACUGUGUUUUCUAGAUGAUAAUCUUGAAUAGAAUAAUCAAAAGUUUUUUUUUUUUAAAAAUCAUCUGCAAAAAUCAUCAGAAAUUAAGGUUUUAAAUAUAUAAUUUUUAUAUAUUCUCUUGUUAUUGAAAUAUUUUUUAUUAUAAAGAAAAUAUGAAAGAAGUAUUAUCAAUAUUAACGCAUUUAUACCGCUGUUAUAAGUAUCAAAGUAACGAUUAAAUAAAAAACAAAUAAAGUUAAAUUUAUUAAA